GUCUUCGUAGCUCAGUUGGUAGAGCAGCUGACUCUUAAUCAGCGGGCCUAGGGUUCGAGUCCCUACGAGGACA
rnacentral:tRNA from 2 species